UAAAAGCCUACCAAGGCCAUGACGCUUAGGAGAGCUGAGAGGCUGACCUCCACCGAUGGGACUGAGACACGGCCCAUACGCCUACGGGUGGCUGCCGUCGAGAAUCUUCCGCAAUGGGCGAAAGCCUGACGGAGCGAGACCGUGUGAUGGAUGCAGUGCUUCGGUAUGUUAACAUCUUUUAUAGGGGACAAAGUUUAUUGAUGGUACCCUAUGAAUAAG
rnacentral:rRNA from 1 species